AGUAGGAUUCACGGCAGAAAUGUCUCGGGCCUGAGGCCAGAGUGAAAAAGGGACUAAACCAAUUACCUGAGGAAUUUGGACAGAGCCCGGGAGCCAUCACAGAAUUUUAAAUGAGGGAAUGAUAUGAUUAUGAUUUUGUUCUAGAAAGGUCACUUCAGCCACCAAAUGGAGAUGGGCUGGGAGACAAAAGGAGGCUGGGGCGGUUGGCCAGACAGAAACUGAUGAAGGCUCGAACUGGGGCAGUAACCAAAGGAAGAGCAAGCCGGGGCAAAUGGGAGAGUUUUUUCUAAGGUAGAAUCUACUGGAAUUGGCAGCUAAUACGACGUAGAAGCCUGGGGUUUCCAUCCUGGGUAGCUGAAAACUGACAUAAGGAAUUGUUCAGGGUAGGCUGGGGAGGAGGAGGGGUUCGGCAGCAAUCAGCAACCCGCACAGGCUGCGCCCCAGUGAUGGCCAGUCGACGGCACCUCAGCUCCCUGACGCUCUCUCGUUUGGAACUCACCACAGAGGCUCAUUCCCAUUUUACAGAUGUUAAGGUUGAAAUGCCAUCAGGAAACGUGGAUGGCUGUGCACAGAGGACAGGUAGAAGAAUGUUCUGGAGUUCAGAGGAGAUUUGGGGAUGAGGAAUGGAGAAACUGGAGCCACCAGCGUGUGCAGAUGGUCACUGAGUGGGGGACAUGGAUUUGAGCCCUGGCCCGGGAAGAUUCCACAUGCCGCGGAGCAACUAAGCCUGUGCGCCACAACUACUGAGCCUGUGCUCUAGAGCCCACGAGCCACAACUACGGAGCCCACGUGCCACAACUACUGAAGCCCGAGCGCCUAACACCCGUGCUACACAACAAAGAGAAGCCACCACAAUGAGAAGCCCGCGUACUGCAACGAACUGUAGCCCCCGCUCGCGGCAACUAGAGAAAGCCCGCGCGCAACAACGAAGACCCAACUCAGCCAAAAAUGAAAUAAAUAAAAAUUAAAUUAAAAUUUUUUAAAAAGACCCAAUGCAGCCAAUAAUUAAUUAAUUUUUUAAAGUCCUUAUCUUUUAAAAAUAAUAAAAAAAUAUUAAAAUACUGAGAUGUUUAUGUAUGAAGAGACUUGACAGCUGGUUUUACUUUAAGGUAAUCUUGGAAGGUAGAAAUUAGAAAGGGUGUGGGGACAUCCCUGACAGUCCAGUGGUUAAGAAUCCAUGCUUCCACUUCAGGGGGCACAGGUUCGAUCCCUGGUUGAGGAACUAAGAUCCCGCAUGCCGUGUGGCGCAGCCAAAAAGAAAAGAAAAGAAAAGAAAAAGGUAUGGAUGGGACUGACUUGGCCAAAACUUGGUGGUUGUUGAAGCUGGAUGAUGGGUACGUGAGGAUUCAUCAUACUUUUCUGUCUAUUUUUGUGUAUGUUUGAAAUUCUCUAUAAUAAAAAAGUAAAAUAAAUAGGUAAAUAAGAAAAGGAGAGAGAGGGCCCUCACUUAAGAUAGGGUGAA